UCGGAGCGAGGGGAGCGAGCGCGGCGAGGGCGUAGCGUGAGGGCUCCUCGCGGGCGUGGUGGGACGCGUCACCGAGCCGCCCUCCAGCCACACCUGGGCCUUCCAGGCGGCGGGAGGUGGGCCUGCGUUGGACAUCUGUGGUCGCAGGGAGACCAACUCACGUGUUAAAGUUCAGUUCUUUGGUAGCCAGCCACCCUCACUGAAGGUCCCGACUUCCUCCUGAAAAGUUUGGUAGAUUCUCAGCUGAAACUGAAUAGAGGAUGGAAAGAAGAAUAAGAAAAGAAAACCUGGACCUUCAUUCAACCUGCGGAAAUGUUCCAGUGGGAAUCAUAAUCAAUUAGAGAGCAACCCGUUCUGUUCAACUAGUUGCUUAUUAAAGAAUAUUAAUCCAAAAA